UACGGAGGAUGCAAGCGUUAUCCGGAAUCAUUGGGUUUAAAGGGUCCGUAGGUUGUUUAGUAAGUCAGUGGUGAAAGUUUGCGGCUUAACCGUAAAAUUGCCAUUGAUACUGCUAGGCUUGAAUGAUUGUGAAGUGGUUAGAAUAAGUAGUGUAGCGGUGAAAUGCAUAGAUAUUACUUAGAAUACCGAUUGCGAAGGCAGAUCACUAACAAUAUAUUGACACUGAUGGACGAAAGCGUAGGUAGCGAACGGG
rnacentral:rRNA from 1 species